GGAAAGUUUUUUCGGUUGGGGAUGGGCUCGCGGCCUAUCAGUUUGUUGGUGAGGUAAUGGCUCACCAAGACGACGACGGGUAGCCGGCCUGAGAGGGCGACCGGCCACACUGGGACUGAGACACGGCCCAGACUCCUACGGGAGGCAGCAGUGGGGAAUAUUGCACAAUGGGGGAAACCCUGAUGCAGCGACGCAGCGUGCGGGAUGACGGCCUUCGGGUUGUAAACCGCUUUCAGCAGGGAAGAAGCCUUUCGGGGUGACGGUACCUGCAGAAGAAGUACCGGCUAACUACGUGCCAGCAGCCGCGGUAAUACGUAGGGUACAAGCGUUGUCCGGAAUUAUUGGGCGUAAAGAGCUCGUAGGUGGUUGGUCACGUCUGCUGUGGAAACGCAACGCUUAACGUUGCGCGUGCAGUGGGUACGGGCUGACUAGAGUGCAGUAGGGGAGUCUGGAAUUCCUGGUGUAGCGGUGAAAUGCGCAGAUAUCAGGAGGAACACCGGUGGCGAAGGCGGGACUCUGGGCUGUAACUGACACUGAGGAGCGAAAGCAUGGGGAGCGAACAGGAUUAGAUACCCUGGUAGUCCAUGCCGUAAACGUUGGGCACUAGGUGUGGGGGACAUUCCACGUUCUCCGCGCCGUAGCUAACGCAUUAAGUGCCCCGCCUGGGGAGUACGGUCGCAAGGCUAAAACUCAAAGGAAUUGACGGGGGCCCGCACAAGCGGCGGAGCAUGCGGAUUAAUUCGAUGCAACGCGAAGAACCUUACCAAGGCUUGACAUACACCAGACCGUUCUGGAAACAGUUCCUCCCCUUUGGGGUUGGUGUACAGGUGGUGCAUGGUUGUCGUCAGCUCGUGUCGUGAGAUGUUGGGUUAAGUCCCGCAACGAGCGCAACCCUCGUUCUAUGUUGCCAGCACGUAAUGGUGGGAACUCAUAGGAGACUGCCGGGGUCAACUCGGAGGAAGGUGGGGAUGACGUCAAAUCAUCAUGCCCUUUAUGUCUUGGGCUUCACGCAUGCUACAAUGGCUGGUACAGAGAGAUGCGAGACCGCGAGGUUUUAGCGAAUCCCUUAAAGCCAGUCUCAGUUCGGAUCGUAGUCUGCAAUUCGACUACGUGAAGUCGGAGUCGCUAGAAUCGCAGAUCAGCAAC
rnacentral:rRNA from 1 species